rnacentral:rRNA from 1 species
AUCUGGCGCAAGCCGAGUUGUAAUUUGUAGAGGAUGCUUCUGGGUAGCGGCCGGUCUAAGUUCCUUGGAACAGGACGUCAUAGAGGGUGAGAAUCCCGUAUGUGACUGGCUUGCACCCUCCACGUAGCUCCUUCGACGAGUAGAGUUGUUUGGGAAUGCAGCUCUAAAUGGGAGGUAAAUUUCUUCUAAAGCUAAAUACCGGCCAGAGACCGAUAGCGCACAAGUAGAGUGAUCGAAAGAUGAAAAGCACUUUGGAAAGAGAGUUAAAAAGCACGUGAAAAUGUUGAAAGGGAAGCUCCCGCAAUCAGACUUUGCGGCAGGGUUCGGCCGGUCUUCUGACCGGGUUACUCGCUGUCGGGAGUCCCUCAUCGACUGGGACGCUGGAUAAGACCUUAGGAAAGUGGCCCCCCUCGGGGAGUGUUAUAACCUCUGGAGUAGCCGCUCGCCUCGAUAGAGGACUUUGCUUCUCGAAGUGUACUUCAGAAAUGCUUGUAGCCGGCCCGUCUUUUUCCUCUGGCCAGGCAGUCUAAAGGCAUAUGUUCAGUGUUCGGUCGUCUAACCACCUACUCUGUAUCUUACUCAAAGGGGUGCGAGGAACAUUUAUUGAUGCGGCUAGCUGCCCGCACCCAAAAUGUUCCUCACGAUCCGAUUUACAGUACAUGCAUAGUAGGUGGGUGCCCCCCAGAUGGUCGACAUAUGACGUGAGUCGCGUUGGAGCCGGAGGUCAACGCUGGGGCGACCCUCGACGCUUACCUGAUCAUCCAAUCGAUCGUCAAAUUUGCGCAUGAGGACGCGAAAGCCUCAUCGAGCAUACUAGUACGUCUCGCGUACGUGCGGGAUUUCCCUUAAGGAUACACUAACCUUCAUAUG